rnacentral:tmRNA from 1 species
GGGGAUGUAUAGUCUUCGAUGGAAAAUGUUCUUUAAAAAAUGGCAAACCGAGCAAGUUGGAUAACUCGUAAAACUGUUCAACAAACUUUUAAGUGCAAAAUCUAUUGCCAACAAAGCCAAGAACGCUCUAGCUAACGCUUUUGCAGUUCCUAACUUUGCUCCGGUAGUCGCUUAAGACAACCGGCAUCGUUUUCUUUAGUUCCUGUCUAAAGAAUCUUUCGGUGUCAUAUUCACAGGAUCGAUUAUAUAUUUUUCUCUUUAAUAUAUAAUUUAAAUCUUAAAGAGAUAGAAAUAUACUAGUUUGUUUGUUUACAAAGUAUAUUUUGAAUAAGCUUCGGCUUAUAAACAAACUAAGUUUGUAGAUCAUUUUUUAAAUCUUUUUCAGACAGGGGUGCAAGUCCCCUCAUCUCCACCA